GCAUAUCAAUAAGCGGAGGAAAAAGAAACUAACAAGGAUUCCCCUAGUAACUGCGAGUUGAAGCGGGAAAAAGCUCAAAAUUUAAAAUCUGAGGGUCCUUGUGGCCUUUCCGAGUUGUAAUCUAGAGAAGUGUUAUCCGCGCUGGACCGUGUACAAGUCUCCUGGAACGGAGCGUCAUAGAGGGUGAGAAUCCCGUCUUUGACACGGACUACCAGGGCUUAUGUGAUGCGCUCUCAAAGAGUCGAGUUGUUUGGGAAUGCAGCUCUAAAUGGGUGGUAAAUUCCAUCUAAAGCUAAAUAUUGGCGAGAGACCGAUAGCGAACAAGUACCGUGAGGGAAAGAUGAAAAGAACUUUGGAAAGAGAGUUAAACAGUACGUGAAAUUGUUGAAAGGGAAACGCUUGAAGUCAGUCGCGUUGGCCAGGGAUCAACCUUGCUUUUGCUUGGCGUACUUUCUGGUUAACGGGUCAGCAUCAAUUUUGAUCGGUGGAUAAAGGUUAGGGGAAUGUGACAUCUUCGGAUGUGUUAUAGCCCUUGGUCGCAUACAUCGGUUGGGAUUGAGGAACUCAGCACGCCGCAAGGCCGGGUUUUUAACCACGUACGUGCUUAGGAUGCUGGCAUAAUGGCUUUAAUCGACCCGUCUUGAAACACGGACCAAGGAGUCUAACAUGCACGCGAGUGUUUGGGUGGAAAACCCGAGCGCGUAAUGAAAGUGAAAAUUGAGAUCCCUGUCGUGGGGAGCAUCAAUGCCCGGACCAGACCUUUUGUGACGGUUCCGCGGUUGAGCGUGUAUGCUGGGACCCGAAAGAUGGUGAACUAUGCCUGAAUAGGGUGAAGCCAGAGGAAACUCUGGUGGAGGCUCGUAGCGAUUCUGACGUGCAAAUCGAUCGUCAAAUUUGGGUAUAGGGGGCGAAAGACUAAUCGAACCAUCUAGUAGCUGGUUCCUGCA
rnacentral:rRNA from 1 species